rnacentral:rRNA from 1 species
AUUUGACUCAACGCGGGGAAUCUUACCGGGUCCGGACACACUGAGGAUUGACAGACAGUUGUCUUUCCCUCCCUUCGGGGUGGGAUUACAAAAGAUAACAGAUCUUUCAUGAUCAUGUGAUGGGUGGUGCAUGGCCGUUCUUAGUUCGUGGAGUGAUCUGUCUGCUUAAUUGCGUUUCAAAUUUUAUAUUUGUUAACAUGCGAGUCUUCAAUGACGGCCACUCCACCUUAUAGACAUUAUAUGAUAUGCACAUUUGUGUAUUUGAUUAUAACUUGUCUGGAGUCUGGCUCGAUUUUUUUGACUCAAUUGAACGCAACGGACGUGAUUGCAAGUCCUUGUUGAACAAAUUAUAUAUAUACUACUUCAUCAUUAGUAUAUAUAGUUCGCUUCUCAUGUCGUAGCAGUCAAACGGGCGGGCGUCUUAAUUGGCGCGGUCACGAGGCUUAAUAUGCUGCGGCUGGGGAAAACUUGGGCGACCGCUGUAAUACUUCUCUCUUAAACCAGAGGAAGAUUGCGGCAAUAACAGGUC